AGAUUGAACGCUGGCGGCAUGCCUUACACAUGCAAGUCGAACGGCAGCACGGGAGCAAUCCUGGUGGCGAGCGGCGAACGGGUGAGUAAUACAUCGGAACGUGCCCAGUAGUGGGGGAUAGCCCGGCGAAAGCCGGAUUAAUACCGCAUACGACCUACGGGUGAAAGCGGGGGAUCGCAAGACCUCGCGCUAUCGGAGCGGCCGAUGUCAGAUUAGCUAGUUGGUAGGGUAAAAGCCUACCAAGGCGACGAUCUGUGGCUGGUCUGAGAGGACGACCAGCCACACUGGGACUGGGACACGGCCCAGACUCCUACGGGAGGCAGCAGUGGGGAAUUUGGACAAUGGGCGCAAGCCUGAUCCAGCCAUGCCGCGUGCGGGAAGAAGGCCUUGGGUGUAACCGCUUUGUCAGGACGAACGCUCGAGUUAAUACCUCGAGUAAUGACGUACCUAGAAGAAUAAGCACGGACUAACUACGUGCCAGCAGCCGACGUAAUCGUGA
rnacentral:rRNA from 1 species